rnacentral:rRNA from 1 species
CUGAACCAGCCAAGUAGCGUGAAGGAUGAAGGGUCCUACGGAUUGUAAACUUCUUUUAUACGGGAAUAAAGGAUCCUACGUGUAGGAUUUUGUAUGUACCGUAUGAAUAAGCAUCGGCUAACUCCGUGCCAGCAGCCGCGGUAAUACGGAGGAUGCGAGCGUUAUCCGGAUUUAUUGGGUUUAAAGGGAGCGCAGACGGGAGAUUAAGUCAGUUGUGAAAGUUUGCGG